rnacentral:rRNA from 1 species
CAGUUCGGAUCGGAGUCUGCAACCCGACUCCGUGAAGCUGGAUUCGCUAGUAAUCGCGCAUCAGCCAUGGCGCGGUGAAUACGUUCCCGGGCCUUGUACACACCGCCCGUCAAGCCAUGGGAGCCGGGGGUGCUUGAAGUGCGUCGCCGCAAGGCGCGCCCUAGAGUAAAGCCGGUGACUGGGGCUAAGUCGUAACAAGGUACC